CGGAAGGCGGCCGGCGGUGGCGGAGGCGAAGGCGGAGGCGAGGAAUCCACGCGAGAGCCGCGCGAAGAAAAGUUGCGCGUCAAAACGGAAGAAAUCCUUCCCGACCGGAUUUCUGUGCGCAACCAGGGCAGAGGGAGGGGAGGAAGGAGGAGCACUGGCCGAGGACGACGCUCUGUCUGCCGGCUUAAGAGAGCAGGAUUCCCCGGUCACCUCUGGAGCGACCUGUCUCUCUGACUGUCUGUCUGCCUGUCGGUCUCUGACUGUCUCAGUGGAUGACUUCCUUCCUGUGUAUCCUUUCACAUACACACGCACGCACACGCGCACGCACACACCCACACACACUGGUCGUUCCAAUGCAAAUAUGAAGCAAAACAUCAGGGUUGACUGAAGUGCUGUAUAAUUCUUUUGGCAUCUAAAACUAUAUCGUAAGUAACAUUACAGUGUCGCAAGACAAGAUAAAUCCCGCAUUUCUUCCCAGUAUUCUGGAAUGAAACAUCUGUCCAGGGGUGCAACAGCGUUUGCCCCAGCCAAGUGGGCGUGGCUAUCGCUGGGCAACACCAUCUGAGGAAUUUGGUUAAACUACAUCUCUGCUGUACAUCUGCCCCAGGCAAAAUUAGCAUGCCAUUGUCAGGAUUUUUUUUUCAAUGAAUUAUUUUUUGGGGAUGGUGGGGGGGGGGGGCGAUAUGGCGUUAAAUUUGAGCAGGCAAGACGGAGUCAUGUGUCCUCCCUGGAAAAAUGUUCCCUGAAUGUGUCUGAUGUCUGCCAACGUGACUUCAGCGUCAACUGAGCCACCCUGUCAAUGUCUGGACUGGCAGUAGGUUAAAUAAAUAUUCAGGUCAGGGGAUUUCCAAAGGCAUCCAAAGAUGAGAUUCACGUGGAUGGGGUGGGUGGGGGUGUCCCCCAGGGUGGGGGCUUCCAAAAAUAUGCGGUCUGGUAUGUGGAAUGACGACCCGCCGCAUUUCUCAAGGACCGCUGGGGACAUUUGGAGGUGACAACAUUGAGAGGAGCAACAGAACAGCCCAUUUGAAGAAAA